GCCUGUUUGUCUGUGUGGGUGGUCAUGUAUGAGUCUUUGUCUGUCUUCUCCUUAUGUAAUGUCAGGUGGAAGUUCGGAGCCAAGCGCUGCAGAGGCCAACCCACAUCCUUCUCCCACGCAGCUCUGUGAAGCAGUUACACACAUCAAUCGGGGAAAACGCUCAGCGCUCAGCACCGUUGGAGCAGCUGGAUGUGCACUGGUCAGAAUUUAUAUACUUCUAACAAACAACACUGCUGGUGUCAGUUUGUGAUCAUUGAAGCUAAAGACAUUCAGAAGGUAAUGCCUCAGCAUUUGGAGAUUGCAUUAACACUUGCAUUAAUUUAACAAUACGUAAAAUAUAUUACAUUAAAAAUGUUCACCUUUUGGCUGAGUUAGGACUGCAUCUAAAGCACUAAAAGCAGAUCUAUCAGUGCCUAAGGGCUUUAAGGCAGGUCUUUAGAUGAAUUCAUGGAUAAAUUUGCUUUGAAAACACUGACUGGCAUUGGAAAACAGAAGCUGGACAAAAUUAAUAGCAAAUCCUCUCAGCAAAGUAGAUCUGUUGACUGUCAGCUGCCCUAGAUUCUCAAGUGGAAAACAGCUCAGACAGUAGCUGAGCAUCAAUGACUCAAACAGUUGGCUAAAUUAGCCUCUGGUUGUAAGGAUAAUUGGUUUCCAUUUGGGGAAAUUUCAAAAUUUUAGUAUGUUAAAUAUUUGAGUGAAAAAUGAUUUGGUUUCAUCACUGUAUUUGGAGGCCUUGAGAAUUUUUUUCUCUUUCCCUGGUUUCAGUGUCUAACUCUCAUCAGAGGACCUUAACAAACAUGCUUGUUUAUAAAAGCCAUCUUUGUUGCCCUUAAUCAAGCACCUGCUUAUAGUCCCCCGCUGCUGAGUUGGUCAAUGAAAGACCUGGCACUGGGAGAACAAUGGCUCUGAAUGGGGAAAKGGGCAUCACCUUCAUGUAUUCCCAAAGCACAAAUCCUGCUUCAGCAGCCCUCCCUUUUAUCACAGGUAGGGUUUCAGUGAGGUUUGAGAGUAUCACAAGAAUAAAAAAAAGGAUUGUUAAAAAAAUAACCCA
rnacentral:lncRNA from 1 species